rnacentral:rRNA from 1 species
AACAAACGCUGGCGGCGUGCCUAAUACAUGCAAGUCGAACGGGGAAAGUAGCAAUACGAGUACUAGUGGCGCACGGGUGAGGAAUACAUGGGUAAUCUGCCCUCGAGUUUGGGAUAACCAGUCGAAAGAUUGGCUAAUACCGGAUAUGACCACAGGAUCUGCGGAUCUAGGGGUAAAAGGUUUUUCGCUCGAGGAUGAGCCCAUGUGGGAUUAGCUAGUUGGUGAGGUAACGGCUCACCAAGGCGACGAUCCCUAACUGGUCUUAGAGGAUGAUCAGUCACACUGGAACUGAGACACGGUCCAGACUCCUACGGGAGGCAGCAGUAGGGAAUAUUGCACAAUGGAGGAAACUCUGAUGCAGCGACGCCGCGUGGGUGAUGAAGGCCUUCGGGUCGUAAAUCUCUGUCGUAUGGGACUGACACAAUGAAGGUACCAUGCAAGAAAGGAUCGGCUAACUUCGUGCCAGCCGCCGCGGUAA